rnacentral:rRNA from 1 species
UACGGAGGGUGCAAGCGUUAUCCGGAUUCACUGGGUUUAAAGGGUGCGUAGGCGGGCAGGGAAGUCAGUGGUGAAAUCUUUGGGCUUAACCCGAAAACUGCCAUUGAUACUAUCUGUCUUGAAUAUUGUGGAGGUUUGCGGAAUAUGUCAUGUAGCGGUGAAAUGCUUAGAUAUGACAUAGAACACCUAUUGCGAAGGCAGCAAACUACGCAUAUAUUGACGCUGAGGCACGAAAGCGUGGGGAUCAAACAGG